UACGGAGGGUGCGAGCGUUGUCCGGAUUUAUUGGGUUUAAAGGGUGCGUAGGCGGUUUAUUAAGUCAGUGGUGAAAGACGGUCGCUCAACGAUUGCAGUGCCAUUGAUACUGGUAGACUUGAGUUCGUAUGAGGUAGCUGGAAUGGAUAGUGUAGCGGUGAAAUGCAUAGAUAUUAUCCAGAACUCCAAUUGCGUAGGCAGGUUACUAAUACGAUACUGACGCUGAUGCACGAAAGUGUGGGGAUCAAACAGGAUUAGAUACCCUGGUAGUCCACACUGUAAACGAUGAUGACUAACUGUUUGCCCUUUGGGGUGAGUGGUACAGAGAAAUCGUUAAGUCAUCCACCUGGGGAGUACGCCGGCAACGGUGAA
rnacentral:rRNA from 1 species